rnacentral:rRNA from 1 species
UACAGAGGUGGCAAGCGUUGUUCGGAAUUACUGGGCGUAAAGGGCGAGUAGGUGGCCUUCUAAGUCAGACGUGAAAUCCCCCGGCUUAACCUGGGAACUGCGUCUGAUACUGGAGGGCUAGAGUAUGGGAGAGGAAUGUAGAAUUCCAGGUGUAGCGGUGAAAUGCGUAGAUAUCUGGAGGAAUACCGGUGGCGAAGGCGGCAUUCUGGACCAUUACUGACACUGAUCCGCGAAAGCUAGGGGAGCAAACGGG